AUGACAUGCUUGAGUUGGAACUGCCGGGGGCUUGGGAACCCCAAGGCAGUUCAUGAGCUUUGCAGCAUUGUGAAGCUGGAAGGACCCACUCUACUCUUCGUCAUGGAAACAAAGAUUAAUGCCAAAAGAGUGGAGGAUUUGAGGUAUACUCUAGGUUUUGGUAGUUGUUUUGCUGUUGACAGUGUCGGCCUGAGUGGCGGCAUAGGUCUGUUUUGG
rnacentral:rRNA from 1 species